GAAAUCAGAGAUACAGCUUCCAUGUGACCGAAGUCCACAUCAUAACCUAGCAUAUGAAUAUACAGCAUUUUCCAGACAUAUUUCUUCUUUUCAUAUGGUGUCAAGCCCUUUUCGUUCUUAAAGCGAGUUCGAAUGUUGCCGAGCUCUUUAUCAACACGAAGGCGUUCCUGUUCUUUGUUCUGACAAUUACGAACGUCGCUGAUGAACACCGACAAUCCUCUCAUGCCAGAUAACGCCAUUUCCGUUCAGAUCCAACCCGAGAGGCUUUUUGUAGAUCCCUCAAAUAUUAGCACCGAGAUCUUCUCCUAUAAGAUCGACCCUCACAAUUCACCUAAAUUCAAGUACAAAUUCCUUUUUCACCUAUACAUACAAUAUCUAUGUAUGCAUAUGUUGUACAGAAGGGGGGUGGGGUGAGGGCAGGAGGUAGACUGAGAAAUUUAGAAAAGCCGUCAGGGCAGUGGAGGAAGACGAC
rnacentral:misc_RNA from 1 species